CAAAACGAAAUGCUACUGAAGUUUCUUGUACAGAGAAAGAGCAAAAGAAAUGGUAUUGAAGUUCCUUUACAUAGAAAGAGCAAAGGAAAUGCAACUUAAGUUUCCAUUGAUACAAGAAAAUAUUAUUUGUAUAAUCCAUCCAUCAAAAUACAAUUGCUCACUUUUUUUACAAACCUGCUUUCUGCCUAUUAUUUGGACCUGAUAGUGGAAACAGAUACCAAGUUGAUAUAGCAACUACGACCAUUUUAACAGUCCAAUAUCUAUUACACAUUCGAUUCAUUAGGACGAAUAAAAGACACACAAACUGAUCAACCUGGCAAUUGUUCUCCAUAGCACAUAUAGAGUAAAUAGCCUGCAAAAAUAAGAAUAGACCUAUAAUAUCAAUAUUCAGGUCUAUAACACUCCAAUGUAAUAAAAAACAAUGAACAGAGAAACAGACAAGUGCUAAAUUUUGUAAUAUUGACUGACCAUACGCAUUUUUAAUCUCUGUUGAACAUGACAAUGCAAACGUAUAAAUGUUUCAAAUACGAAUUGCCAAAGUUAUUCUCAGUUUUUUUUUUCAUUCUUUUUUCUUUUACAUAAAUACCACUUUCAAGACUAACAAUGUGAAGGCCAAAAGGAACGGAAGAAGAAGAAGAAGAGAGAAAAGUUUCACAGAAUACCCAUGCUCCAAUAGCUUGUCGCUCGACGAAUGUAACAUAAAGAUAGUAUGAUUAAGUCAAAUAGACAAAAGCAAUUAUUUUAUAGAAGGUACAAACCUGAGUUGGAUUAAUGAAUUUCAAAUUAUUAUCAUUUACAUAAACCAAGAAAAUAAAAGAAGAACAAAACCAAAGGGGAUUGCGUUUAGGUAUUGAAAAGCAAUUACCCCUCCGAACAGUAAGGGAUCAAUAAUCAUCCGUGUGUAUGCGAGCUUGAGACAUAUGUGCUAUAUUGGAAAUCAGUCCGAGACUUAAGAGUUUUUGAUUAAGAAGGUAAUGGAAACGUCAUUGGAAUUGAAUCCCCUUUGUUGAUUCAUUCUCUGUUUUUGGUGCCGUGCAAUUGAAGCGUGGAGUUUCUGGUUUGAAGCGUUCUGAUUUGAAACGUUUCGAGGAAUUUUAUAUGCGACUGUUCACUUA
rnacentral:lncRNA from 1 species